GGCCGUCUAGCUCAGUUGGUUAGAGCGUCGUGCUAAUAUAUUUCAGUCGAAACGAACUUGUUAACGCGAAGGUCUUGGGUUCGACCCCCACGAUGGCCA